ACCGAUGCUUUGAUUCAACUAGCAUAGUGCAUUUACGUAUAGAAAGAUAAGUCAUCAUCUCAAAUCCAGUGAAAAAGACAGACCCACAAACCAUGAAGCAAAUGCAAAUUUCUUAUCCCAGAUUUCACCAUGGAGUGUAGCUUUAGCAGGAAUCCAGAGCACCAAAAAUCACAUGGGCUUAUCUUCCAAAUGAUGCAACGCCGUGGUCCCCUCCCAAAAACCAUUAUUUCCAGAGGCCUUUAAAGUUUUUGAACCAUUCCAUGGAGAAAAGGGCAUCACUCACGCUUACCAUCUCACAUCGCUGUCUCCAUACUACAAAUAUGUGCAUGCCACAUGUGUACACAGGCAUAAGACAACAGAAAAACCAUGCAAAUUUAUAUUACAUCCAACCAACCAAAUCCAGUCACUAGAUACAGAGCCCCAUGAGCUUCAAGGAAAACAAGUAGACAAACAUGCAUGUUCUUCCACAAUCAAAUUAUAACACCCAUCAAAAAGAAAGGAAGCCAGUCCACCGGUGACAAUGCCUCAGAAGAAACAUGAAAUGGCAAAUCAAAGGUCCCCGGGAGGUUUGCCAGGAUGAAAUAUGAAGGAGGGCCUCACUCGUGCACUGUUACAUAAAAAAGUGGCAACCCUACAAAAGAGAAAUAAAAUGACAAGAAUACAAAAAGGGCGGAAAAGUGAAGGUUGGGUCCCAAAACACCCAAGCAGCGUGCGU
rnacentral:misc_RNA from 1 species